rnacentral:lncRNA from 1 species
UAUAUAUAAUUGUUGUUGUUUUUAUUUUUCUUGGUUUUUCGUAUUUUCAUUUAUUCACUUGUGCUGAUUGGUUUGGAUGCUAUUAUCAUUGUAAACAAUUAAAGAGGAAACUUUGUUACUCUGAGCGAAAAAUUAAUAUUGUAUUCUUAUAUUCAUUUACUCUUAUUGUGGAGUGAGAUGGCCCAGGCAGAAGCUUAAGGGGGGAGCCCAUAAACGAAGCCAACUUGAACUUGCAG